rnacentral:sRNA from 1 species
UGACCCUUCUUAAGCCGAGGGUCACCUAGCCAACUGACGUUGUUAGUGAACCUAAUUUGUUCACACUAUAUAUGGCCAAUCCCGACUCUUGGGCUUGGCCUUUUCUUU